rnacentral:rRNA from 1 species
CCUACGGGAGGCAGCAGUGAGGAAUAUUGGUCAAUGGACGAGAGUCUGAACCAGCCAAGUAGCGUGAAGGAUGACUGCCCUAUGGGUUGUAAACUUCUUUUAUAUGGGAAUAAAAUGUUCCACGUGUGGGAUUUUGUAUGUACCAUAUGAAUAAGGAUCGGCUAACUCCGUGCCAGCAGCCGCGGUGAUACGGAGGAUCCGAGCGUUAUCCGGAUUUAUUGGGUUUAAAGGGAGCGUAGGUGGAUUGUUAAGUCAGUUGUGAAAGUUUGCGGCUAAACCGUAAAAUUGCAGUUGAAAAUGGCAGUCUUGAGUACAGUAGGGGUGGGCGGAAUUCGUGGUGUAGCGGUGAAAUGCUUAGAUAGCACGAAGAACUCCGAUUGCGAAGGCAGUUCACUGGACUGCAACUGACACUGAGGCUCGAAAGUGUGGGUAUCAAACAGGAUUAGAUACCCCUGUAGUC